GGGCAGGCUAGGCUGGCGCGUUGGCCCUGCGCUGUAACUCUAAACGGGCUUUAUGAGGGGGCUGAAGCUUGGGAAGAGGCAUUUGCAUUGCAAAGUGGUCUUGGUUUUGACAAUGAAGCUCUGUCCUGUGGGAUCGAUACUUUUGAAAACCCAGUCAGGGCAGGAAUGCAGCAGCUGUAAUCAUUAAUAUCGGUGCUCAUAGGGUAGCGGAACCGAGGAUAAAUCAGGGUAAGCUGCUUUGCUUUGCCAGUGUCCAUUUCCUUGCAUGCCUGCCU
rnacentral:SRP_RNA from 1 species